rnacentral:rRNA from 1 species
GCUCCAAUAGCGUAUAUUAAAGUUGUUGCAGUUAAAAAGCUCGUAGUUGGAUUUCUGGUGGGAGGGAACCGUCCGAUCUCAGAUUGGUGCGUGUUCCUCUCCGGCCAUCCUUGAGUCUAACCUCCUUGGCAUUAAGUUGUCGAGGUGGGGAUACUCAUCGUUUACUGUGAAAAAAUUAGAGUGUUCAAAGCAGGCUUAUG